UCCCUCCCCUUUCCUAGGGGAUUGUGGGAAGGGGUGGGUGGGGCUCAGUGUAUUUGAGCCCCAGUCCCCUGGCAGGGAGCUCAUUCGGCUCCAGGACCGCUUCGGUGAUGGUUCUCUGUCGCUCCUUCGGCAGCCGGCAGGUUUUGAGCCGUUUAAGCUACGUGGGCAGCCGUCUUAGGAGAAGCCGAGGAGUCCCUUUGAGGUGGUGACGGGGAAAGUGACAACUGCAGGAAGAUCACCGUUAGCCCACGUCGUGUUUUCCUCUGUUGAAGAUGGAUUUGGUCCCUCAGCCCUCUAAAAGUUAAGUGGAGGCACGAGGGCUUGGAAGGGGCUGGGAAUCGCAGGGAGGGUUUUAAGUUCUGAGACAGAAAAGGGCAGUCCCCUUUGGGCAGAGAAAUGGGGUCAGACAACUUUAUAGUGCGAUGCCAGCGUGUGCCGGGCAGGGCCGCUCCAGCCCGCGUCUGUUGUCGUGUAGUUUGGGGAGCGUGCUUCGUGUCUGUCAGACGAUCUCGGGUAUCAUUGCGUUCCAGGGGCAAGAAAGUCAUUUCAAGCGCCAUCCCGGGGUCUGGAAAGCCGGUGCCGAUCGACGUAGCGCUAAUCGGCUGCUGGUUUUCUUGUAUCAGCCGUCGAAAGGGUACACGGUUCUUGUAUCUUGAAUGUUUUUUGUCAGUUGUUUUUUAUGGUGUAGUUCUGGGCUGCAACAGCAGCUCUCAUCUCUGCUUAUCCAGUCUAAGGGACUGGCACUUCUUCCCAGCAUCUUGAAGGUUUUAAGUUUUGCAGCAGCUUCUCGUAUUUGUGCCGUCUCCGCAUGUUUGCGCCAGGGCUGCCGUCUCGUAAGAGUCCGUGACGUUCGGCUCCUUUUUUUUCUGGGGUGGCAUUAGAGGCUCCUCGCCUCACCACUGCCUCCCCGCAGGUUAUUUUUAUCGUUGCUGUCUCUGAUUUGGAGUUAUUUUUGUUGUGGAGCAUUUUUGGUGUUGUUGCUGUCGGGUCGUCUAUAAUGUUGUGUGGAGCAUCUGUCUAAGCACGUGCGCAUUUGGCUCGGAGCUGCUCUGCCCGGAGGUGUAGAGUUAGGAGCGGGUGGACCGAGCUUUAGGAGUCCACGAUUGAUCUGUGGACAUGUUAUCCUGCGUAGGCAUAGGCUGUGCGGUCAUCUGGGACGGAGUAGCUGUGGGCAGGGGAGCGGACAGUCCGUACCGCAGUGGUUUUUGGGACUCAAUUAGACCUUAUUGUGUGAUUCCUGAAUAGAAAGCAGACCUGUGGAAUGGUCAAGCUGUUGAUGAGCUCCUGGUUACCUUGUUGAAUACCUUGAUUUCAGAUGCAGAGGGACAACUUGGCACGAAAGAGCGACGGAGGAGGCGAGCCGAGCGCCGUAAGCAAGCAGGUGCGAAGCAAAGUGGAAAGCUGGGUAUCGGCAGCGCAGCUCCUCUGGCAAGAUGUUGAAGAGGAACCCAGCGAUGCAGGAAGAUCCCUGUUAGCGCGUGUGGCGUUUUCUUCGUCGAAGAUGGGUUAGGUCCCUCGGCCCUCUGAAAGCUAAGUGGAGGCACGGGGGCUGGGAAGGGGCUGGGAAUCGCAGGGUUGGGGUUAAGUUCUGAUAAGGGCCGUCCAGGAACAGUUCCCCUUGGGUGGGUAAAGUGUCUGGGGACCUUUACAGUGUGAUGCCAGGGUGUGGCGGGCAGGGCAGCUCCAGCCUCUGUCUGCAUUGUGUAGUUUGGGAAGCCUGUCUCGCGACUGUCCGAUGAUCCUGGGGUCUCUUUGCGCUCCAGGCGCACAGCAUGUAUCUCGGGUGCCAUCCCGGGAUCUGGAAUGCCAGUGCCAAUUGGGUUGGUGUCAAUUGGGUCCUGGAUUCUUGUAUCAUCAGCCGAAAGUGUGGGUAGUGGUUUCAUUUUUCAUGUUUCUGGUCAGUUGUGAUUUACGGUGUAGUUCUGGGCCGCAUCAUCAGCGGUUGUGCUCUGUAUGCAUCCAGUCUAUGGGACUGGCACUUUAAGAUGCUGGGAAGAAGUUCUUAGUUUUGCAGCAGCCUUGCGUGUUUGUGCCAGUGCCACCAUUUCUUAAGGGGCCGUGAUGUUGGGCUCUUAUUUUUUUCUGGGGUUGCAGUAGAGACUCCUUGCCUCACUGCUGCCUCUCUGCAGGUUCUUUUGAUUGAUGUAGUCUCUGUUUUGGAGUAGCUCUUGUUAUACAGCACUUUUGGUGCUGUUGAUGUGUUGUCUAUAAUGUUUUGAGGUGCGUCUGUCUGUGCACGUGCACAUUUGGCUCGGAGCUGCUGUGCCCGGAGGCGUGGAGUCAGGGGUGGGUGAAUGUAGCUCUAGGGGUGCACGGUUAAUCUGUUGACACGUUAAACUGCAUUGGCAAAGGUUGAGCCGUCAUCUGGGAUGGAGUAGCUGUGGGCAGGGGAGCGGACUGUCCCUUCUCCAGUGUUUUGGAGACCUAAUUAGAGCUUCUGGUGGGAUUCCUAAACAGAAA